rnacentral:misc_RNA from 1 species
UUUUCUUUUUUUUUUUGUUAUUUUUUUUAGUGUAACAAAGCUGCUUAUUUGGACAAUGAUCUGGCAAAUGGUACAAGAAUUUCCCCAACCAUGUUGAGGAGAAGCUUAAAAAAAUAAAAUAAAAAAGGAGCCCCACUGUAGUUGCCAAAUAGGAUAUUAAGAGUCCGUUUGACAUUACUCUUGAAAAUGUUACCGAAAAAAU